AGUGAACGCUGGCGGUAGGCCUAACACAUGCAAGUCGAACGGCAGCACAGUAAGAGCUUGCUCUUACGGGUGGCGAGUGGCGGACGGGUGAGGAAUACAUCGGAAUCUACUUUUUCGUGGGGGAUAACGUAGGGAAACUUACGCUAAUACCGCAUACGACCUACGGGUGAAAGCAGGGGAUCUUCGGACCUUGCGCGAUUGAAUGAGCCGAUGUCGGAUUAGCUAGUUGGCGGGGUAAAGGCCCACCAGGGCGACGAUCCGUAGCUGGUCUGAGAGGAUGAUCAGCCAAACUGGAACUGAGACACGGUCCAGACUCCUACGGGAGGCAGCAGUGGGGAAUAUUGGACAAUGGGCGCAAGCCUGAUCCAGCCAGACCGCGUGGGUGAAGAAGGCCUUCGGGUUGUAAAGCCCUUUUGUUGGGAAAGAAAAGCAGCAGGUUAAUACCCCGCUGUUCUGACGGUACCCAAAGAAUAAGCACCGGCUAACUUCGU
rnacentral:rRNA from 1 species